rnacentral:rRNA from 1 species
GUAGUUGUGAAUGUGUUCAUUCUCUUCUGCCUUUCUUGUUUCUUCUGUCUUUUCUGCCUAAUUUUCUUUAUUUCUUGCUUUGAAUAAACAGUGUUGUAUGCAUCUGCCUCACUACACCUUUA